CCAAUAGCGUAUGCAAAAGUUGUUGCAGUUAAAAAGCUCGUAGUUGAAUUUCGGGACCAAUAUGUCGGUCGUGCCUCGGUACGUACUGGCAUCGUUGGUUUCUCCCUUCUGACGAACCAUGAUGUCAUUUAUUUGGUGUCGUGGGGAAUCAGGACUGUUACUUUGAAAAAAUUAGAGUGUUUAAAGCAGGCUCACGCUUGAAUACAUUAGCAUGGAAUAAUGAAAUAGGACGUUUGAUUCUAUUUUGUUGGUUUCUAGGAUCGACGUAAUGAUUAAUAGGGAUAGUUGGGGGCAUUAGUAUUCAAUUGUCAGAGGUGAAAUUCUUGGAUUUAUUGAAGACUAACUACUGCGAAAGCAUUUGCCAAGGAUGUUUUCAUUAAUCAAGAACGAAAGUUAGGGGAUCGAAGACGAUCAGAUACCGUCGUAGUCUUAACCAUAAACUAUGCCGACUAGGGAUCGGAUGAUGUUAAUUUUUUAAUGACUCAUUCGGCGCCUUACG
rnacentral:rRNA from 1 species